rnacentral:rRNA from 1 species
ACAACGGAGAGUUUGAUCCUGGCUCAGGAUGAACGCUGGCGGCGUGCUUAACACAUGCAAGUCGAACGAACCUUCGGGUUAGUGGCGGACGGGUGAGUAACGCGUGGGAACCUGCCCUCAGGAGGGGGAUAACGGCUGGAAACGGCCGCUAAUACCCCAUAUGCCGAGAGGUGAAAGGAAUUUCGCCUGAGGAUGGGCCCGCGUCUGAUUAGCUAGUUGGUGGGGUAAGGGCCUACCAAGGCGACGAUCAGUAGCUGGUCUGAGAGGAUGAUCAGCCACACUGGGACUGAGACACGGCCCAGACUCCUACGGGAGGCAGCAGUGGGGAAUUUUCCGCAAUGGGCGAAAGCCUGACGGAGCAACGCCGCGUGAGGGAUGAAGGCCUCUGGGCUGUAAACCUCUUUUCUCAAGGAAGAAGACCUGACGGUACUUGAGGAAUAAGCCACGGCUAAUUCCGUGCCAGCAGCCGCGGUAAUACGGGAGUGGCAAGCGUUAUCCGGAAUUAUUGGGCGUAAAGCGUCCGCAGGUGGCCCUGUAAGUCUGUCGUUAAAGCGUGGAGCUUAACUCCAUUUGAGCGAUGGAAACUACAGGGCUAGAGUGUGGUAGGGGCAGAGGGAAUUCCCGGUGUAGCGGUGAAAUGCGUAGAUAUCGGGAAGAACACCAGUGGCGAAGGCGCUCUGCUGGGCCAUCACUGACACUCAUGGACGAAAGCCAGGGGAGCGAAAGGGAUUAGAUACCCCUGUAGUCCUGGCCGUAAACGAUGAACACUAGGUGUCGGGGGAAUCGACCCCCUCGGUGUCGUAGCCAACGCGUUAAGUGUUCCGCCUGGGGAGUACGCACGCAAGUGUGAAACUCAAAGGAAUUGACGGGGGCCCGCACAAGCGGUGGAGUAUGUGGUUUAAUUCGAUGCAACGCGAAGAACCUUACCAGGGUUUGACAUCCUGCGAACCUCUGAGAAAUCGGGGGGUGCCUUCGGGAGCGCAGAGACAGGUGGUGCAUGGCUGUCGUCAGCUCGUGUCGUGAGAUGUUGGGUUAAGUCCCGCAACGAGCGCAACCCACGUCUUUAGUUGCCAGCAUUGAGUUGGGCACUCUAGAGAGACCGCCGGUGAUAAACCGGAGGAAGGUGUGGAUGACGUCAAGUCAUCAUGCCCCUUACAUCCUGGGCUACACACGUACUACAAUGCUACGGACAAAGGGCAGCAAGCUCGCGAGAGUAAGCAAAUCCCAUAAACCGUGGCUCAGUUCAGAUCGUAGGCUGCAACUCGCCUACGUGAAGGAGGAAUCGCUAGUAAUCGCAGGUCAGCAUACUGCGGUGAAUACGUUCCCGGGCCUUGUACACACCGCCCGUCACACCAUGGAAGUUGGCCACGCCCGAAGUCGUUACUCCAACCCUUGUGGAGGAGGACGCCGAAGGUGGGGCUGAUGACUGGGGUGAAGUCGUAACAAGGUAGCCGUACCGGAAGGUGCGGCUGGAUCACCUCCUAA